rnacentral:snRNA from 1 species
CUCGCUUCUCGGCCUUUUGGCUAAGAUCAAGUGUAGUAGCAUAUGUUCUCAAGGCAAAAUAGACCUGCAAAUUCUAUAAAGAAAAAUAAUCAAUUUGAUUAAGUUCAUCAGUGUUUUUCUUUUCCUUCCUAAAAGCUGCUGAAAAGAAAU